AUGAAGUACAUGAACACACUAUUUUGCCUAUUUGCACGAUACUUUGGAGAUUACCAUGUGAUUAGUGUUGAAGUAAGAACACACCCAGUUUCAAUUCACUUCUUUGAAGAUGUUUAUGAGAAAGUGGAGUAUUGUUUUGCUUUGGAUUCUCGUGCAUCAGGAGCAUACUUCAUACAACAUGGAGAAAAGGUUCCCUUUGUUCAAUUUUCAUUCUCAGUGAGUACACAUUGGUCAACCGUGGGAAACCCUUUUUUAGAACCUUACUGUUGGAGCAGCUAUUGUUGCUUUAUCUUGUUCAUUACAUCUUGUAAAUAUCCCAUAUUUUAA
rnacentral:rRNA from 1 species